AUUGAACGCUGGCGGCAUGCUUUACACAUGCAAGUCGAACGGCAGCGCGGGCUUCGGCCUGGCGGCGAGUGGCGAACGGGUGAGUAAUACAUCGGAACGUGCCCAGUAGUGGGGGAUAGCUCGGCGAAAGCCGGAUUAAUACCGCAUACGACCUGAGGGUGAAAGCGGGGGAUCUUCGGACCUCGCGCUAUUGGAGCGGCCGAUGGCAGAUUAGCUAGUUGGUGGGGUAAAGGCCUACCAAGGCGACGAUCUGUAGCUGGUCUGAGAGGACGACCAGCCACACUGGGACUGAGACACGGCCCAGACUCCUACGGGAGGCAGCAGUGGGGAAUUUUGGACAAUGGGCGAAAGCCUGAUCCAGCAAUGCCGCGUGUGUGAUGAAGGCCUUCGUGUUGUAAAGCACUUUUGGCGGGAACGAAAAGGACUGUGCCAAUACCACGGUUCGAUGACGGUACCCGCAGAAUAAGCACCGGCUAACUACGUG
rnacentral:rRNA from 1 species